CACGGGUUGACCUGGAGGAAAGGUCAGGAGAGUGGGGAACACGCGGGAGGGGUGGUGAACGAGAGCUUCUCUGCUCUCAGGCCCGGCAGGGAUUUCAGCUGCAGGGGUUUGGCCGUGAGCCGGUUUGGGGAGAGCUGCUUCCCCCAGGGGAACUCCCUUGGCUCUGGAGGGAUACUGGAUACCUUGAGCCCCCGCUCUGGAAACAUGGAAAGGUCCCAAGGUCACGGCCCAGCUGUGCCUGCAGACAGCUGCCCUUGGCCUCGCCUCCAAGCCUUGGCCCCUUUUCCGUCCCACGCUGAGGUUGAGGCAACCCAACAGCUGAGUAGGAGGCGGCGGCAGCUUCCUGGCAGCUUACCCCACCGUCUACUGUCUCUUAGUUUCGAUCUCAGGGAAACGGGGACUUCACUCCUCUCAGAGUCUCGAAGAAUGUCAUUUCCUUCUCCGGAGCAUAUGAGUCAAUGGGACAGUACAGGGAGAUUAUUCUGUUUUGAGGAAAAAAGCAGUAAUUUAAGUGCAGUAUGUACAAGUGAGCACAGUGGGAUGCAAAGAACAUCGAGCUGGGAACCAGGACUCCUGGGCUCCAGCCCUGCUUGGUCACGGACAGUGGUGUGGCCUUAGGCUAAUUAUGCUGUGUUUCUGGGACUCCGUUUCCUCAACUGUAAAGAGAGAACUGCACUAAUGUCCUCUAAGUUCCCUCCAGACUCCAGGGUUCUGUGGGUCUGGGAGGUCAGUGGGGCCCGGGGCUGUGGAACCAGAGCACUGGCAGAUUUCCUGUGCCCCCACUGGAGUGCUUUGUCCAUGUAGCAAAUAUGGGGACGGGGGAUGGGAGUGAUAAGGUGGAUCUAAGAAAAGGUGGGAGGACUGAGGAAAAGCCAAGGCACCCAGAGCCUCUGCUAGAAUCCCGCCCGCCCCGGCCCCCAGCUCAAAGCCAGG
ensembl:lncRNA